rfam:Aedes aegypti strain Liverpool supercont1.26 genomic scaffold, whole genome shotgun sequence.
UGUCCAGUAACUCCUAUCCCUACCUUCCCGUGGUGCCGCCUGGGGUACGAGUAACCGUAGGGAAGCUCGGGUAACCAACCCUGGUGGGUCCUUGGUCGUAUGCUGACAGGGAAGG